UACGGGGGGGGCAAGCGUUGUUCGGAAUUACUGGGCGUAAAGGGCUCGUAGGCGGCCAACUAAGUCGGACGUGAAAUCCCUCGGCUUAACCGGGGAACUGCGUCCGAUACUGGAUGGCUGAAGGUUGGGAGAGGGAUGCGGAAUUCCAGGUGUAGCGGUGAAAUGCGUAGAUAUCUGGAGGAACACCGGUGGCGAAGGCGGCAUCCUGGACCAAUUCUGACGCUGAGGAGCGAAAGCUAGGGUAGCAAACGGG
rnacentral:rRNA from 1 species